rnacentral:rRNA from 1 species
CACGUAGGGCGCAAGCGUUGUCCGGAAUUAUUGGGCGUAAAGAGCUCGUAGGCGGUCUGUUGCGUUCCGCUGUGAAAACUCGGGGCUUAACCCCGAGCCUGCAGUGGAUACGGGCAGACUAGAGGUAGGUAGGGGAGAAUGGAAUUCCCGGUGUAGCGGUGAAAUGCGCAGAUAUCGGGAGGAACACCGGUGGCGAAGGCGGUUCUCUGGGACGGUACUGACGCUGAGACGCGAAAGCGUGGGGAGCGAACAGGG